rnacentral:rRNA from 1 species
CCUACGGGGGGCAGCAGUGAGGAAUAUUGGUCAAUGGGCGCGAGCCUGAACCAGCCAAGUCGCGUGAGGGAAGACGGUCCUAUGGAUUGUAAACCUCUUUUGUCGGGGAGCAAAAGACGCCACGCGUGGCGUUCCGAGAGUACCCGAAGAAAAAGCAUCGGCUAACUCCGUGCCAGCAGCCGCGGUAAUACGGAGGAUGCGAGCGUUAUCCGGAUUUAUUGGGUUUAAAGGGUGCGAAGGCGGAAGAUCAAGGCAGCGGUAAAAUUGAGAGGGUCAACCGCUUCGAGCCGUUGAAACUGGUUGUCUUGAGUGAGUGAGAAGUAUGCGGAAUGCGUGGUGUAGCGGUGAAAUGCAUAGAUAUCACGCAGAACUCCGAUUGCGAAGGCAGCAUACCGGCGCUCAACUGACGCUCAUGCACGAAAGUGUGGGUAUCGAACAGGAUUAGAUACCCUGGUAGUC